UACGUAGGUGGCAAGCGUUGUCCGGAUUUAUUGGGUUUAAAGGGUGCGUAGGCGGUCUUUUAAGUCAGUGCUGAAAUAUCCCGGCUUAACCGGGAGGGUGGCAUUGAUACUGAGAGACUUGAGUAAAGUUGAGGUAGGCGGAAUUGACGGUGUAGCGGUGAAAUGCUUAGAUAUCGUCAAGAACACCGAUAGUGUAGACAGCUUACUAAGCUUUAACUGACGCUGAGGCACGAAAGUGUGGGGAUCAAACAGG
rnacentral:rRNA from 1 species